CAUUAAGAAGCUAUGGAAUAGCGCUAGCCUUUUAAGCUGGAGAUAGAGGGAUAUCCGCCCUCCUUAAUGG
rnacentral:tRNA from 1 species